rnacentral:lncRNA from 10 species
GUCUAAAAACUUGUAAAAUUAAUCUAUGUUGAUAGGAGUAAGAAAAGUAGUUACCUCAGAGGUGGGAUGACUAAUGGCUACAAAGGAACAUAGGAAACUUUCUUUGGUGUUGGAAAUUUCUGUAUUGUGGUCUGGGUGAUGACUAUACAAAAAUAUAUAAAAGUAAUCAAGAUGUUUUCUUAGUAUUUGUAUUUUAUUGUAUGUUAGUUAUGCAUCAGUGUUACUGGCAGGAGAGGAAGUGUGUAGGUAUACUUUAUUCGGAUCAACAGGUGUGAAUUGAUACAAGAAAUA